rnacentral:rRNA from 1 species
CCCUGUAUUGCCUUAGUAGCGGCGAGUGAGCGGCAAAAGCUCAAAUUUGAAAUCUGGCUCUUUCAGAGUCCGAGUUGUAAUUUGAAGAAGGUAUCUUUGGGUCUGGCUCUUGUCUAUGUUUCUUGGAACAGAACGUCACAGAGGGUGAGAAUCCCGUGCGAUGAGAUGAUCCAGGCCUAUGUAAAGUUCCUUCGAAGAGUCGAGUUGUUUGGGAAUGCAGCUCUAAGUGGGUGGUAAAUUCCAUCUAAAGCUAAAUAUUGGCGAGAGACCGAUAGCGAACAAGUACAGUGAUGGAAAGAUGAAAAGAACUUUGAAAAGAGAGUGAAAAAGUACGUGAAAUUGUUGAAAGGGAAGGGCUUGAGAUCAGACUUGGUAUUUUGUAUGUUACUUCUUCGGGGGUGGCCUCUACAGUUUAUCGGGCCAGCAUCAGUUUGGGCGGUAGGAGAAUUGCGUUGGAAUGUGGCACGGCUUCGGUUGUGUGUUAUAGCCUUCGUCGAUACUGCCAGCCUAGACUGAGGACUGCGGUUUAUACCUAGGAUGUUGGCAUAAUGAUCUUAAGUGGCCCGUC